GCGUGAGUGAUGAAGGCCUUAGGGUUGUAAAGCUCUUUUGGCGGGGACGAUAAUGACGGUACCCGCAGAAUAAGCCCCGGCUAACUUCGUGCCAGCAGCCGCGGUAAUACGAAGGGGGCUAGCGUUGUUCGGAAUCACUGGGCGUAAAGCGCACGUAGGCGGACUUUCAAGUCAGGGGUGAAAUCCCGGGGCUCAACCUCGGAACUGCCUUUGAUACUGUUGGUCUUGAGUCCGGAAGAGGUGGGUGGAAUUCCUAGUGUAGAGGUGAAAUUCGU
rnacentral:rRNA from 1 species